UCCGUAUAGCUAGCUCAGUGGUAGAGCGUCCGACCGGUGUGCGGAAGGUCAUAUAAGUUCGAUUUAUGUUGGGAA
rnacentral:tRNA from 1 species